rnacentral:rRNA from 1 species
UACGGGGGGGCAAGCGUUGUUCGGAAUUACUGGGCGUAAAGGGCUCGUAGGCGGCCAACUAAGCCAGACGUGAAAUCCCUCGGCUUAACCGGGGAACUGCAUCUGAUACUGGAUGGCUUGAGUUCGGGAGAGGGAUGCGGAAUUCCAGGUGUAGCGGUGAAAUGCGUAGAUAUCUGGAGGAACACCGGUGGCGAAGGCGGCAUCCUGGACCGACACUGACGCUGAGGAGCGAAAGCCAGGGAGCAAACGGG